rnacentral:rRNA from 1 species
CAAUAGCGUAUAUUAAAGUUGUUGCGGUUAAAAAGCUCGUAGUUGGAUUUGUGGCGUAUGGUGUGUUCCGGGCACUUGUUGUCUGAGUAACUUGCCAUUGCCAUCCUUGGGUGGAACCUGUGUGGCAUUAGGUUGUCGUGCAGGGGAUGCCCAUCGUUUACUGUGAAAAAAUUAGAGUGUUCAAGGCAGGCUUAUGCCGUUGAAUAUAUUAGCAUGGAAUAAUAAGAUAGGACUUUUUUGCUAUUUUGUUGGUUUGCGCGAGAAGGUAAUGAUUAAUAGGGAUAGUUGGGGGUAUUCGUAUUCCAUUGUCAGAGGUGAAAUUCUUGGAUUUUUGGAAGACGAACUACUGCGAAAGCAUUUACCAAGGAUGUUUUCAUUAA